rnacentral:rRNA from 1 species
UGGGGAAUAUUGCACAAUGGGCGAAAGCCUGAUGCAGCGACGCCGCGUGAGGGAUGACGGCCUUCGGGUUGUAAACCUCUUUCGACAGGGACGAAGCGCAAGUGACGGUACCUGUAGAAGAAGCACCGGCCAACUACGUGCCAGCAGCCGCGGUAAUACGUAGGGUGCGAGCGUUGUCCGGAGUUACUGGGCGUAAAGAGCUUGUAGGCGGUUCGUCGCGUCGAUUGUGAAAACUUGCAGCUCAACUGCAAGCUUGCAGUCGAUACGGGCGGACUAGAGUACUUCAGGGGAGACUGGAAUUCCUGGUGUAGCGGUGAAAUGCGCAGAUAUCAGGAGGAACACCGGUGGCGAAGGCGGGUCUCUGGGAAGUAACUGACGCUGAGAAGCGAAAGCGUGGGUAGCGAACAG